UUGAACGCUGGCGGCAGGCCUAACACAUGCAAGUCGGGCGGUAGCACAGAGAGCUUGCUCUCGGGUGACGAGCGGCGGACGGGUGAGUAAUGUCUGGGAAACUGCCUGAUGGAGGGGGAUAACUACUGGAAACGGUAGCUAAUACCGCAUAAUGUCGCAAGACCAAAGUGGGGGACCUUCGGGCCUCAUGCCAUCAGAUGUGCCCAGAUGGGAUUAGCUAGUAGGUGGGGUAACGGCUCACCUAGGCGACGAUCCCUAGCUGGUCUGAGAGGAUGACCAGCCACACUGGAACUGAGACACGGUCCAGACUCCUACGGGAGGCAGCAGUGGGGAAUAUUGCACAAUGGGCGCAAGCCUGAUGCAGCCAUGCCGCGUGUGUGAAGAAGGCCUUCGGGUUGUAAAGCACUUUCAGCGGGGAGGAAGGCGUUAAGGUUAAUAACCUUGGCGAUUGACGUUACCCGCAGAAGAAGCACCGGCUAACUCCGUGCCAGCAGCCGCGGUAAUACGGAGGGUGCAAGCGUUAAUCGGAAUUACUGGGCGUAAAGCGCACGCAGGCGGUCUGUCAAGUCGGAUGUGAAAUCCCCGGGCUCAACCUGGGAACUGCAUUCGAAACUGGCAGGCUAGAGUCUUGUAGAGGGGGGUAGAAUUCCAGGUGUAGCGGUGAAAUGCGUAGAGAUCUGGAGGAAUACCGGUGGCGAAGGCGGCCCCCUGGACAAAGACUGACGCUCAGGUGCGAAAGCGUGGGGAGCAAACAGGAUUAGAUACCCUGGUAGUCCACGCCGUAAACGAUGUCGAUUUGGAGGUUGUGCCCUUGAGGCGUGGCUUCCGGAGCUAACGCGUUAAAUCGACCGCCUGGGGAGUAUGGCCGCAAGGUUAAAACUCAAAUGAAUUGACGGGGGCCCGCACAAGCGGUGGAGCAUGUGGUUUAAUUCGAUGCAACGCGAAGAACCUUACCUGGUCUUGACAUCCACAGAACUUUCCAGAGAUGGAUUGGUGCCUUCGGGAACUGUGAGACAGGUGCUGCAUGGCUGUCGUCAGCUCGUGUUGUGAAAUGUUGGGUUAAGUCCCGCAACGAGCGCAACCCUUAUCCUUUGUUGCCAGCGGUCCGGCCGGGAACUCAAAGGAGACUGCCAGUGAUAAACUGGAGGAAGGUGGGGAUGACGUCAAGUCAUCAUGGCCCUUACGACCAGGGCUACACACGUGCUACAAUGGCAUAUACAAAGAGAAGCGACCUCGCGAGAGCAAGCGGACCUCAUAAAGUAUGUCGUAGUCCGGAUUGGAGUCUGCAACUCGACUCCAUGAAGUCGGAAUCGCUAGUAAUCGUAGAUCAGAAUGCUACGGUGAAUACGUUCCCGGGCCUUGUACACACCGCCCGUCACACCAUGGGAGUGGGUUGCAAAAGAAGUAGGUAGCUUAACCUUCGGGAGGGCGCUUACCACUUUGUGAUUCAUGACUGGGGUG
rnacentral:rRNA from 1 species